GUUGUAUAGUCAAGUAAUUAAGUGCAUGUGGUGGAUGCCUUGGCAGUCAGAGGCGAUGAAAGACGUGAUAGCCUGCGAAAAGCUCCGGGGAGGCGGCAAAUAUCCUUUGAUCCGGAGAUGUCUGAAUGGGGGAACCCACCUACUUUAAGGUAGGUAUUGCAACAUGAAUACAUAGUGUUGCAAGGCGAACGAGGGGAAGUGAAACAUCUCAGUACCCUUAGGAAAAGAAAUCAAUUGAGAUUCCCUCAGUAGCGGCGAGCGAACGGGGAUCAGCCCAUUAAGUUAUGUGUGUUUUAGUGGAACGCUCUGGGAAGUGCGAACGUAGAGGGUGAUAUUCCCGUACACGAAAGGGCACACAUAAUGAUGACGAGUAGGGCGAGGCACGUGAAACCUUGUCUGAAUAUGGGGGGACCAUCCUCCAAGGCUAAAUACUCCUGACUGACCGAUAGUGAACCAGUACCGUGAGGGAAAGGCGAAAAGAACCCCUGUGAGGGGAGUGAAAUAGAUCCUGAAACCGCAUGCAUACAAGCAGUGGGAGCACCUUCGUGGUGUGACUGCGUACCUUUUGUAUAAUGGGUCAGCGACUUAUAUUCAGUAGCAAGGUUAACCGUAUAGGGGAGCCGUAGAGAAAUCGAGUCUUAAUAGGGCGUUUAGUUGCUGGGUAUAGACCCGAAACCAGGCGAUCUAUCCAUGAGCAGGUUGAAGGUUGGGUAACACUAACUGGAGGACCGAACCCACUGUCGUUGAAAAGCCAGGGGAUGACUUGUGGAUAGGGGUGAAAGGCUAAUCAAGCCUGGUGAUAGCUGGUUCUCCCCGAAAGCUAUUUAGGUAGCGCCUCGGACGAAUACCAUAGGGGGUAGAGCACUGUUUCGGCUAGGGGGUCAUCCCGACUUACCAAACCGAUGCAAACUCCGAAUACCUAUGAGUACUAUCCGGGAGACAGACUGCGGGUGCUAACGUCCGUAGUCAAGAGGAAAACAAUCCAGACCGCCAGCUAAGGCCCCAAAAUCAUAGUUAAGUGGGAAACGAUGUGGGAAGGCAUAGACAGCUAGGAGGUUGGCUUAGAAGCAGCCACCCUUUAAAGAAAGCGUAAUAGCUCACUAGUCGAGUCGGCCUGCGCGGAAGAUGUAACGGGGCUAAAACUAUGUGCCGAAGCUGCGGAUNNNNNNNNNNNNNNNNNNNNNNNNNNNNNNAUGCUGGAGGUAUCAGAAGUGCGAAUGCUGACGUGAGUAACGACAAAACGGGUGAAAAACCCGUUCGCCGAAAGACCAAGGGUUCCAGUCCAACGUUAAUCGGGGCUGGGUGAGUCGACCCCUAAGGCGAGGCCGAAAGGCGUAGUCGAUGGGAAAAUGGUUAAUAUUCCAUUACUUCUGUGUAAUGCGAUGAGAGGACGGAGAAGGCUAAAUCAGCCUGGCGUUGGUUGUCCAGGUGAAAGGAUGUAGGCAUGUAUCUUAGGCAAAUCCGGGGUACUCUAUGCUGAGAUCUGAUAGCAAGCUGUACUUGUACAGCGAAGUGGUUGAUGCCAUGCUUCCAGGAAAAGUCUCUAAGCUUCAGUUACACAGGAAUCGUACCCGAAACCGACACAGGUGGUCAGGUCGAGUAGACCAAGGCGCUUGAGAGAACUCUGCUGAAGGAACUAGGCAAAAUGGUACCGUAACUUCGGGAGAAGGUACGCUGUUGUUGGUGAUGGAACUCGCUUCCUGAGCUGACGACAGCCGCAGAAACCAGGCCGCUGCAACUGUUUAUUAAAAACAUAGCACUCUGCAAACACGAAAGUGGACGUAUAGGGUGUGAUGCCUGCCCGGUGCUGGAAGGUUAAUUGAUGGGGUUAGCGUAAGCGAAGCUCUUGAUCGAAGCCCCAGUAAACGGCGGCCGUAACUAUAACGGUCCUAAGGUAGCGAAAUUCCUUGUCGGGUAAGUUCCGACCUGCACGAAUGGCAUAAUGAUGGCGGCGCUGUCUCCAGCAGAGGCUCAGUGAAAUCGAAAUCGCUGUGAAGAUGCAGUGUACCCGCGGCUAGACGGAAAGACCCCGUGAACCUUUACUGCAGCUUGACACUGAACUUUGACCUUACUUGUGUAGGAUAGGUGGGAGGCUUUGAAGCUGGAACGCUAGUUCCAGUGGAGCCGUCCUUGAAAUACCACCCUGGUAAUGUUGAGGUUCUAACUCUGUCCCGUGAUCCGGGACGAGGACCGUGUCUGGUGGGUAGUUUGACUGGGGCGGUCUCCUCCUAAAGAGUAACGGAGGAGUACGAAGGUGCGCUCAGCGUGGUCGGAAAUCACGCGUAGAGUAUAAAGGCAAAAGCGCGCUUAACUGCGAGACCCACAAGUCGAGCAGGUACGAAAGUAGGUCUUAGUGAUCCGGUGGUUCUGUAUGGAAGGGCCAUCGCUCAACGGAUAAAAGGUACUCUGGGGAUAACAGGCUGAUACCGCCCAAGAGUUCAUAUCGACGGCGGUGUUUGGCACCUCGAUGUCGGCUCAUCUCAUCCUGGGGCUGAAGCAGGUCCCAAGGGUAUGGCUGUUCGCCAUUUAAAGAGGUACGCGAGCUGGGUUUAGAACGUCGUGAGACAGUUCGGUCCCUAUCUACCGUGGGCGCUGGAAAUUUGAGAGGAUCUGCUCCUAGUACGAGAGGACCAGAGUGGACGAACCUCUGGUGUACCGGUUGUGACGCCAGUCGCAUCGCCGGGUAGCUAUGUUCGGAAGGGAUAACCGCUGAAAGCAUCUAAGCGGGAAGCCUACCUCAAGAUAAGAUUUCCCUAGGACUUUAUGUCCUCUAAAGAGCCGUUCGAGACUAGGACGUUGAUAGGUUGGAUGUGGAAGCAUAGUGAUAUGUGAAGCUGACCAAUACUAAUUGCUCGUGAGGCUUGACUAUACAACACCCAAGCAGUUG
rnacentral:rRNA from 1 species